GUGUGUGUGUGAGAGAGAGUACCUCUGUGUGUGUGUGAGAGAGAGUACCUCUGUGUGUGUGUGUGAGAGAGUACCUCUGUGUGUGUGUGAGAGAGAGUACCUCUGUACCUCUGUGUGUGUGUGUGAGAGAGUACCUCUGUGUGUGUGUGAGAGAGUACUCUCUCGACUGUGUGUGUCUGUGAGAGCGACUGUGUGUGUCUGUGAGAGCGACUGUGUGUGUGUGUCUGAGAGUGACUGUGUGUGUGUCUGGGUGUCUGUGAGAGUGACUGUCUGUGUGUCUGUGAGAGUGAUUGUGUCUGUGAGUCUGUGAGUGACUGUGUCUGUGAGAGUGACUGUGUGCGUGUGUCUGUGAGAGUGACUGUGUGCGUGUGUCUGUGAGAGUGACUGUGUGCGUGUGUCUGUGAGAGUGACU
ensembl:lncRNA